AAAUCUGGCAGUCUUUUGAUUGUCCGAGUUGUAAUCUAGAGAAGUGUUACCCGCGCUGGACCGUGUAUAAGUCUCCUGGAAUGGAGCGUCAUAGAGGGUGAGAAUCCCGUCUUUGACACGGACUACCAGGGCUUUGUGGUAUGCUCUCAAAGAGUCGAGUUGUUUGGGAAUGCAGCUCUAAAUGGGUGGUAAAUACCAUCUAAAGCUAAAUAUUGGCGAGAGACCGAUAGCGAACAAGUACCGUGAGGGAAAGAUGAAAAGAACUUUGGAAAGAGAGUUAAACAGUACGUGAAAUUGUUGAAAGGGAAACGCUUGAGAUCAGUCAUGUUGGCUGGGGAUCAACCUUGCUCUUGCUUGGUGUACUUCCUAGUUGAACAGGUCAGCAUCAAUUUUGAUUGGUGGAUAAAGGUUAGAGGAAUGUGGCAUCUCGGGUGUGUUAUAGCCUUUAUCGCAUACAUCAGUAGGAUGAGGAACUCAGCACGCCACUAGCCGGUCUUUGACCACGUUACGUGCUCAGGAUGCUGGCAAAAUGGCUUUAUCGACCCCGUCUUGAAACACGGACCAAGGGAGUCUCACAUGCCUGUCGAGUGUUUGGGUGGAAAACCCGAGCGCGUUAUCGCAAAGUGAAAGUUGAGAUCCCUGUCGCGGGGAGCAUCGACGCCCAGACCAGACCUUUUGUGACGGAUCUGCGGUAGAGCAUGUAUGUUGGGACCCGAAAGAUGGUGAACUAUGCCUGAAUAGGGUGAAGCCAGAGGAAACUCUGGUGGAGGC
rnacentral:rRNA from 1 species